rnacentral:ncRNA from 2 species
CAGCGCCGCGCGGGAGAGUCUCGGGACAGCCAGUCUCGGGCGCCGAAGGAGCAAUACCUCCCCGUCAACCUCUCAGGCACCAGGACCGCGCACGCAUC